rnacentral:rRNA from 1 species
GAAUUGCAUUGGUGACUGCACGGCUAGAGUGUGUCAGAGGGGGGUAGAAUUCCACGUGUAGCAGUGAAAUGCGUAGAGAUGUGGAGGAAUACCGAUGGCGAAGGCAGCCCCCUGGGAUAACACUGACGCUCAUGCACGAAAGCGUGGGGAGCAAACAGGAUUAGAUACCCCGGUAGUCCACGCCCUAAACGAUGUCAACUAGUUGUUGGGGAUUCAUUUCCUUAGUAACGUAGCUAACGCGCGAAGUUGACCGCCUGGGGAGUACGGUCGCAAGAUUAAAACUCAAAGGAAUUGACGGGGACCCGCACAAGCGGUGGAUGAUGUGGAUUAAUUCGAUGCAACGCGAAAAACCUUACCUACCCUUGACAUGCCACUAACGAAGCAGAGAUGCAUUAGGUGCUCGAAAGAGAAAGUGGACACAGGUGCUGCAUGGCUGUCGUCAGCUCGUGUCGUGAGAUGUUGGGUUAAGUCCCGCAACGAGCGCAACCCUUGUCUCUAGUUGCUACGAAAGGGCACUCUAGAGAGACUGCCGGUGACAAACCGGAGGAAGGUGGGGAUGACGUCAAGUCCUCAUGGCCCUUAUGGGUAGGGCUUCACACGUCAUACAAUGGUGCAUACAGAGGGUUGCCAAGCCGCGAGGUGGAGCUAAUCCCAGAAAAUGCAUCGUAGUCCGGAUCGUAGUCGCAACUCGACUACGUGAAGC